GAUGAACGCUGGCGGCGUGCUUAAUACAUGCAAGUCGAGCGAACAGAUGAGGAGCUUGCUCCUCUGACGUUAGCGGCGGACGGGUGUGUAACACGUGGAUAACCUCCCUAUAAGACUGGUAUAACCUCGGGAAACCGGCGCUAAUACCGGAUAAUAUCUUGAACCGCAUGGUUCAAUAGUGAAAGACGGUUUUGCUGUCACUUAUAGAUGGAUCCCCGCCGCUUUAGCUAGUUGGUAAGGUAACGGCUUACCAAGGCUACGAUGCGUAGCCGACGGGAAGGGGGGGUAGGCCACACGGGAACGGGGACGCGGUCCAGACGCCUACGGGAGGGAGCAGUAGGGAAUCUUCCGCAAUGGGCGAAAGCAUGACGGAGCAGCGCCGCGUGAGUGAUGAAGGUCUUCGGAUCGUAAAACUCUGUUAUUAGGGAAGAACAAAUGUGUAAGUAACUAUGCACGUCUUGACGGUACCUAAUCAGGAAGCCACGGCUAACUACGUG
rnacentral:rRNA from 1 species